UACGUAGGGUGCGAGCGUUGCCCGGAUUUAUUGGGCGUAAAGAGCUCGUAGGCGGUUUGUCGCGUCUGCUGUGAAAACUCGGGGCUUAACUCCGGGCCUGCAGUGGGUACGGGCAGACUAGAGUGCGGUAGGGGAGACUGGAAUUCCUGGUGUAGCGGUGAAAUGCGCAGAUAUCAGGAGGAACACCGGUGGCGAAGGCGGGUCUCUGGGCCGUAACUGACGCUGAGGAGCGAAGCGUGGGGAGCGAACAGG
rnacentral:rRNA from 1 species